rnacentral:SRP_RNA from 1 species
GCCAGGCAUAGUGGUGCAUGCCUGUAGUCCCAGCUACUCGGGAGGCUGAGGUGGGAGGACCACUUGAGCUCAGUUCUGAGCUGUGGUGCGCUAUGCCAAUCGGGCAUCCACAGUUCAGCAUCAAUGUGGUGACCUCCUGGGAGUGGAGGACGGGACCACCAGGUUGUCUAAGGAGGGGUCAACUGGCCCAGGUUGGAAACAGAGCAGGUCAAAGCCCCGUGCUGAUCAGUAGUGGGAUCGCACCUAUGAAUAGCCACUGCACUCCAGCCUAAGCAACAUAGUGAGACCCCGUCUCA